GAUGAACGCUAGCGGCAGGCCUAAUACAUGCAAGUCGAACGGGAUCCAGAUCAAAGCUUGCUUUGGUCUGGUGAGAGUGGCGCACGGGUGCGUAACGCGUGAGCAACCUACCCUUGUCAGGGGGAUAGCCCGGCGAAAGUCGGAUUAAUACCGCAUGACAUCAUUGAGAGGCAUCUUUCGAUGAUCAAAGAUUUAUCGGACAAGGAUGGGCUCGCGUGACAUUAGCUAGUUGGUAAGGUAACGGCUUACCAAGGCUGCGAUGUCUAGGGGCUCUGAGAGGAGCAUCCCCCACACUGGUACUGAGACACGGACCCGACUCCUACGGGGGGCAGCAGUAAGGAAGAUUGGGCAAUGGACGGAAGUCUGAACCAGCCAUGCCGCGUGCAGGAAGACGGCCCUAUGGGUUGUAAACUGCUUUUAUACGGGAACAAGCGUCGGUACGUGUACCGGUCUGAGUGUACCGUAAGAAUAAGGAUCGGCUAACUCCGUG
rnacentral:rRNA from 1 species